UACUUGUACGUGAUACUGCAGAGAAGGAUCAUUA
rnacentral:rRNA from 1 species